rnacentral:rRNA from 1 species
GUAGUCCACGCCCUAAACGAUGGAUACUAGGCGUAAGAGGUAUCGACCCCUCUUGUGCCGCAGCUAACGCAUUAAGUAUCCCGCCUGGGGAGUACGGCCGCAAGGUUGAAACUCAAAUGAAUUGACGGGGACCCGCACAAGCGGUGGAGCAUGUGGAUUAAUUCGAUACUAACCGAAGAACCUUACCCAGACUUGACAUCGAUGGUAAGCCGUAGAAAUAUGGCCCUCCCCCAAAAGGGGACCUGAAGACACUUGUUGCAUGGCUGUCGUCAGCUCGUGCCGUGAGGUGUACGGUUAAGUCCGCCAACGAGCGCAACCCUCGUCCUGUGUUACCAGCAAGUAAAGUUGGGGACUCACAGGAGACCGCCGGUGUAAACCGGA